CGCCCCCAUAGCAGGGCGCGCGUGACACCCGAGGGGUGCCUCUCGUGCCCGGGCUGGGGGCAAAGGGAAGUAGCCCCCGACGCGGCCGGCCGGCUGCUGGGGGUGGGGCUUGCGCCCCCACUCUGUCUCCUGGCGCCCUCCCGCGCCGCGAGUGACCCGGACGGCAAGACGCCAGCGGUCCCCGCUUUCUCCGCCCCCCGCCGCAGCCGCCUUAUUGGGGUUUUCCGGCACCGAGCGCCUCAGGCGACCUCGGCCGCCGCCUGCCCGGGUCCCUCUCCCACCCCCACCCUCCGCGGGCCGCGCCGCCCCCUGCCCUCCUCGGCAGCGCAGCCGGGCUUUCUGAUGAGUCAGCGGGAGCCCGGGAGCCUCCAGCCGCCCAGGGCAUCUGCUCCGGUGACGCAGAAACCCACAGGCUUUCCCAGCCACUAAGUGCCUCCCCAGUGUGACCCUGCUAAGCAUGGGGGGAAGAAAGAAAGAAAGGAAGAAAAGGAGGGAGGGAGGAAGGAAGGAAGAAAAGAAGAAAAGAGAAACCUUCAGAUGGAACAAGAGAUGGAAAAUGGAAGAAGUACCUUCCCAGCCAGUGUUCAGGGAAGGGAGGUGCUGCUCCAGCGAUCUCCCCAAUAAGCCACCCACAUGUCAAUCUCCGUCUUAGAGUCUUGUCUACAGGGUCAGAAUUUCCGGAGGCGCACCUGGGGAAUCUGCCUUCUUAACAAGUCUCCUCUCUCCCUCCAUCCCCCUGACCCUGGAACAACAAACUGGAGCCGUGAGGAAAGCAGCCUCUCACACCGCGGAGGGCUGAGCAGGCUGGAUCACAUUCCCUGUUCGUGUGGGCACGGAGCACCCCGUGGCCUUGUCCCAGUUUCUCAGGGCAAAGAGCCGUCCAGGGCACAUUCCUCUGUGUGCCAGGAACAGGGAAGGGCGGAGACGGCUCUGCAGGAAGAGCACGCCCCUUCCCACCAGCCAGGCUCUGACGCCGCACAGCCCACAUGGUUCGACGCCCGGCCCAGUGGCUUUUACCCUAGUGGGCAACGCGACAGCAAGCCCUGAUGCCUCCUGCCUCCUGGUGAACCCUCCCUGAAUGGUAACCCUUUGCUGGCGAGACGGCCCAAAUGGAGGUGUCAAGUCCUCCCAGAGGGCAGCCGUAGGUCUGCCACAGCCCGGGUGUUGACAGUUGGGUGUUAAGCAACAUGUUUGUAAGUCUCUUUCUUAAUUGUCACAACUGCAGUUACAACUAGCAGUUCUCUGGCAGGGCUGUCGGUUCUGAAAAUCUUCAGUCUCCUCUUUGGCAGCUGUGACCCAGCCAGCCUCUGUAGAUGUUUAUUCUGAAACCACCAUGGACUCCUCACCUGGCGACUUGGAAUGCUCUGUGGGAUUAGUAUUCCCACCCAGUAUUUACAGGUUCCCAUAGUUUGAGAAUUCCAAACAGGCUCAUUCCGUCUCAGUGUCUCCUGUCAGCUCUCAUCAUGGUGAGGCAAAUGGAAGGAAGAAAUAUGAAUGUUGGCAAAGAGAGCGAGAUAGAGGGAAAAUAUAAACUGGAUUUCUCAUUAUGGGGCUGAUCGUCAAAAGACAUCCAUUCUAUUCACCCUGGCAGCCCUAAACACUCACUUAUAUAACAGCUAAGGAAGAGACGUUGGUUAAUAUCCCCAACAGGAAAUAACAAGGAAUAAAUUAAUAAACUGUGUUUCUAUGUACAUUUCUAUCCCUAAGAGGCCUAUUUAAAUAAAGUCUUCUGCCUAGAUUACUCGCAGCAAAUAUUUUUAGUUGUUAAGAACCAUAAUCAAUGUAAAAUAUAACUGCUAUAAAGCUGUAUAGUAGUUUUAAUACCUGUAAUAAAAUAUCAAGCUUAGUAGAGCUUAUGGGUGAUAAUCACAAGGGCUAACAUUUAUGGGGCACUUACUACAGGCCAGGCACCAUACUAAGUGCUUUACUUGGAUUAUUUCAUUUAAUCUUUACAACCCUGUGAGAUUUAAUCCACAACACUACUCCAUGAGUUUACAGAUGGGGAAACUGAAUCCAGAGAGAGUGAAAGAGUCAGUGCCUCACCUGCCAACUCUGUGAGAUUUCCCCCUCCCGAUCACCCCUUGGGGAGCUAUUGCCACCUUUGUACAGAGGAGGGAACUGAAGGGUCGGGGGGCAUUAAAUACACCCAUGGGCUCACAGCCAUUAGGUAGAGGAAACGGGGUUUGAACCCAGGGAGAUGUGGCUCCAGAACCCACACCCUUAAGCUCUGUUAUAUCAAGUUCACUUCCCCCAACGAUGCAGAGCUUAGACAGAAUCGGUGUUUACGUUCAUUUGUGUCAAUGUCUGUAAAGGGAAAAAAGUUGGGAACAACUGAAAGGUCCCAUCAAUAGAGAAAAAAGUUACACGAGUUAGGACACCUAUAUUCUAGGUGGCACACAUGGAUAUUAAAAGGAGCCAGGUGGAUCAUAUCUGUGCUUGAUGUGGAAAGCUAUACAUGAUGUAUCACUUAAAAAGGCAAGUUACUAUAUAAUAUGCAGAGCAUAUUUUUAAAUAUGAAGGUAUGUUAUUCUUAUGGAUUCAACUAUGUCUCCCAAAAAGUUAUAUUCAAGUCCUAACCCCUGCACCCAUCAAUAUGACCCUAUGUGGAAAUGGGGACCUUUGAUGAACCAAACUGGGUUAAGGUGGGCCCUAAUCAAAUAUGACUGAUGUCCUUGUAAGAGGAAACUAGACAUAGACAGAAGAUGGAGAGAAGACGGCCAUAGGACAGGGACAGAGACUGGUUAUGACACAAGCCAAAGAAUGUCAUGGAUUGCUAGCAGGCCACCACCAUACCCUACAGAACUCAGAGGAAGCAGGGCCCUGUUGUCACCUUGGUUUUGGACUUGUGGCCUCCACAACUGUGGGACAAUAAACUUCUGAUGUUUUAA